UGGUCUCCUGGAAAAGGGUGGUAAUGCCGGAUGCUCCGACUCCUCGCAUGGGGUGUCGGGAAAGAUUUCAUCGGUAUGGGAUGGGGUCGCGUCCUAUCAGGUAGUCGGCGGGGUAACGGCCCACCGAGCCUACGACGGGUAGCCGGCCUGAGAGGGCGACCGGCCACAUUGGGACUGAGAUACGGCCCAGACUCCUACGGGAGGCAGCAGUGGGGAAUAUUGCACAAUGGGCGCAAGCCUGAUGCAGCGACGCCGCGUGCGGGAUGACGGCCUUCGGGUUGUAAACCGCUUUUGAUCGGGAGCAAGCCUUCGGGUGAGUGUACCUUUCGAAUAAGCACCGGCUAACUACGUGCCAGCAGCCGCGGUAAUACGUAGGGUGCAAGCGUUAUCCGGAAUUAUUGGGCGUAAAGGGCUCGUAGGCGGUUCGUCGCGUCCGGUGUGAAAGUCCAUCGCUUAACGGUGGAUCUGCGCCGGGUACGGGCGGGCUGGAGUGCGGUAGGGGAGACUGGAAUUCCCGGUGUAACGGUGGAAUGUGUAGAUAUCGGAAAGAACACCACCCC
rnacentral:rRNA from 1 species